UCGCUGGGGGUGCCUGAUUUUCGAGGCUGAGAACUGACCCUUGGAACCUGAUCCGGUUUGUACCGGCGUAGGAAAAG
rnacentral:ncRNA from 1 species